GGAGAGGUAGCAUAAUUUGGUAAUGCAGCGGUCUUGAAAACCGCCGCGGGUAACCGCUUGCAGGUUCGAGUCCUGUCCUCUCCGCCA
rnacentral:tRNA from 1 species